rnacentral:misc_RNA from 1 species
AGUUGAAGGGAUAUUCUUGGACACGUCAAAAAUGGGGGAAAUGGACGUGAGUUCCAGAGCCUUUGUGAGGAUGUAUAAUCUUAGACUGCUCAAAAUCUUCAAUUCUAAAGUUGGGAAUAACUGCAAAGUGCACCUUCCUCAUGGCCUUGAGUCUCUUUCUGAAGAAUUGAGGUAUCUCCAUUGGGAUGCAUACCCUUUGAGCUCUCUGCCAUCCAAUUUUCAUGCAGAGAACCUUGUUGAACUUAAUCUGGCUUACAGCAACGUUAAUCAACUAUGGAGAGGAGUGCAAGUAUGCUGCAUUAUUUGUCUUGAUUCCCCUUCUUUUCUUCUUCUUUCCUUUUGAAGAUGCUUUGUAGUUGUAGGUCCGGCGUGUGGUAAUUUAUUGUAGCUAAUAAUUUUGUUUUUGCAGAAUCUUGUGAGUUUGAAACAGAUAAAUCUCAGCAAUUCUAAGCACUUGACUGCAUUCCCAGACCUUUCACAGGCCAAGAAUCUUGAGAGAUUGAAUUUUGAAUAUUGUACUAGCUUGGUAGAAGUUCCCUCAUCCAUUCGAUUUCUCGACAAGCUUGUUGAUAUGAAUAUGAGAUGCUGCACAAGUCUUACGAGCCUCCCGAGUGGCAUUAAAUUGAGAUCACUCAAGACACUUAACUUUUCUGGUUGCUUAAAUCUUAGGAAGUGUCCGGAGGUUGCAGGGAACAUAAAGUAUUUAAAUUUAAAUGAGACAGCAAUAGAAGAACUUCCCAAAUCAAUUGGACAUCUAAGUGGACUCAUUGCCUUGAAUUUGAGGGAUUGUAAGCGACUCUGUAAUCGUCCUGACAGCAUUCGUUUGUUGAAAUCACUUAUGACUGUCGAUCUCUCUGGCUGCUCAAAUAUCACUCUUUUUCCAGAUAUUUCCGAGGACAUAAGAUACUUAUACUUGAGAGAAACUGCAAUAGAAGAAGCCCCCUCUUCAAUUGGCUGUCUCUCUAGACUCUCUUGUUUAGAUCUAAAGAACUGCACAAGGCUUAAGAAUCUUCCUUCUACCAUUUUUAAGUUGGCAUCUCUUGAAAAGCUUAUUCUCUCUGGCUGCUCAAACAUAACCAAGUUUCCACAGGUUUCAUGGAAAAUAAAGAAGCUGUUUUUAGAUGAGACUGCCAUAGAAGAAAUUCCCUCAUCAAUUGAGUAUUGCUCUGAACUUGUUGAAUUGAACCUGCAAAACUGCAAAAGAUUUCAUAUUCUUCCAAGUGGCAUUUGUAAGUUGAAAUCUCUGCAAAAGCUUAAUCUCUCAGGCUGUUCGAUGUUUGAACAUUUUCCAGAUAUUUUGGAGGUUAUGGGAUCCUUGAGAUAUCUUUAUUUAGAUGGAACAGCAAUAAGAAAGUUACCUUCACCAAUUAAAAAUUUGAGUGGUCUUUCUAUCUUAGAAGUGAGAAAAUGCAAAAAUCUUAAUUUUGGUGGUCUUUCUAUCUUAGAACUGAGAAACUGCAAAAAUCUUUCAAGAUUGCCAGAGACCAUCUUAGGCACAGAAUUUUGUGGGGAACAUCUGAGGUACUUGCGGAAGCUGUAUCUAAAUGACUGCAACAUGCUGAAUGUUCCUCUUUCUAUUGGCUUCAUAUCCUCACUAGAAGCAUUAGACCUGAGUGGCAACACUUUUUCAGAGAUACCUGCAAGCAUCAUUCAGCUCUCAAAUCUGCAGUACCUCGGCUUAAGAGAUUGCCUGCAGCUAAGAUUAAUACCAGCACUUCCACCAUGUCUGACAAAAUUAGAUGCAGACAAUUGCAUUUCUCUGCGCUCAGUAACAAUUGAAUCAACUAGAGUGGGGGGAAACAUUUUUGAAUUCUUUUUCACUAAUUGUGACAUGUUGGAUAACUUGGAAAAGCAGUGUAUCAUGGCAUAUGCACUGACAAAAAUUCACUGUUAUUCAGAAUUGCUGUACAACCAGGUACCUUCUGUAGUGGCAGGGGAAUCUAGUCUUUGCUUUCCCGGAUUUGGAAUUCCAGAGUGGUUUUGCCAUCAAAAUGUAGGGUUUUCCACAACACUCCAGCUGCCUUCAAAUUGGGCUAACACUGGGUUCCUGGGUUUCACUCUCUGUGCUGUAAUUACAUUCAACAACCCCCACAUUCACAACUCUGGUUUACAAGUGAAAUGUAGAUACCAUUUAAAAAAUAGGUAUGGCGACUGCAACGAUCUACAUUCCUAUUUCGGCGGUUUGUACGGUACAAGAUAUUUCGGCAACUGUGAUACGUUCUUUGGGUAUGACCCCUGUCUGGAUGUUAAAAAAGAUGAUAAGUUUGGUAAAUACAAUGAGGUUCUAAUUGAAUUCUAUCCUGAAGAUAUGAAU